rnacentral:rRNA from 1 species
UCCUGAGGUAUUAACCGAGACCGUUUCCUUCCGGACAAAAUCAGUUUACAACCCGAAGGCCUUCUUCCUGCACGCGGCAUUGCUGGAUCAGGCUUGCGCCCAUUGUCCAAAAUUCCCCACUGCUGCCUCCCGUAGG